CUGGCUCAGGAUGAACGCUAGCUACAGGCUUAACACAUGCAAGUCGAGGGGCAGCAUGGUCUUAGCUUGCUAAGACUGAUGGCGACCGGCGCACGGGUGAGUAACGCGUAUCCAACCGUGGCCCGCAGUAGGGAACAGCCCGGCGAAAGUCGGAUUAAUGCCCUAUGUCUUCCUUUGCAGGCAUCCAAUGAGGAAGAAAGAUUUAUCGCUGCGGGAUGGGGAUGCGUCUGAUUAGCUUGUCGGCGGGGUAACGGCCCACCGAGGCGACGAUCAGUAGGGGUUCUGAGAGGAAGGUCCCCCACACUGGUACUGAGACACGGACCAGACUCCUACGGGAGGCAGCAGUGAGGAAUAUUGGUCAAUGGGCGUAAGCCUGAACCAGCCAAGUAAGCGUGCAGGAUGACGGCCCUAUGGGUUGUAAACUGCUUUUAUACGGGGAUAAAGUGAGGGACGUGUCCCUUAUUGUAGGUACCGUAUGAAUAAGGACCGGCUAAUUCCGUGCCAGCCGCCGC
rnacentral:rRNA from 1 species